GUGCAGCAGGCGAGAAUACUUUACAAUGUGCGAAAGCACGAUAAGGGAACUCUGAGUGCCUCCUAAGGAGGCUGUUCAGGUGUCUAAAAGCACCUGGAGUAAGGGCUGGGUAAGACCGGUGCCAGCCGCCGCGGUAACACCGGCAGCCCAGGUGGUAGCCACUUUUAUUGGGUCUAAAGCGUCCGUAGCCGGUUGAGUAAGUUCCUUGGGAAAUUUGGCUGCUCAACAGUCAAGCUUCCAGGGAAUACUGCUCGACUUGGGACUGGGAGAGGUCAGAGGUACUCCAGGGGUAGGGUGAAAAUCCAUUAAUCCCUGGGGGACCACCGGUAGCGAAGGCGUCUGACCAGACCAGGUCCGACGGUGAGGGACGAAGGCUA
rnacentral:rRNA from 1 species